GCAAGUAGAACGCACAGGAUGCACCGUAGUUUACUACACCGUAUUCUGUGAGUUGCGAACGGGUGAGUAACGCGUAGGUAACCUGCCUGGUAGCGGGGGAUAACUAUUGGAAACGAUAGCUAAUACCGCAUAAGAACAUUUACUGCAUGGUAGAUGUUUAAAAGGUGCAAAUGCAUCACUACCAGAUGGACCUGCGUUGUAUUAGCUAGUAGGUGAGGUAACGGCUCACCUAGGCGACGAUACAUAGCCGACCUGAGAGGGUGAUCGGCCACACUGGGACUGAGACACGGCCCAGACUCCUACGGGAGGCAGCAGUAGGGAAUCUUCGGCAAUGGGGGGAACCCUGACCGAGCAACGCCGCGUGAGUGAAGAAGGUUUUCGGAUCGUAAAGCUCUGUUGUUAAGGAAGAACGAGUGUGAGAAUGGA
rnacentral:rRNA from 1 species